AAGCGACCAUCUCGAAGCGCCGGAAGAAGGGGAAGAAACCGGCCGCGUAGGACAUAGUCCAACGCCCCCCAAGAGUCGCCCGGGCCUGCCCCUAUUU
rnacentral:sRNA from 1 species